rnacentral:rRNA from 1 species
CCUACGGGUGGCAGCAGUGGGGGAUAUUGGGCAAUGGGGGGAACUCUGAUCCAGCAACGCCGCGUGAGUGAAGAAGUAUUUCGGUAUGUAAAGCUCUGUCAGCAGGGAAGAGAGAAAUGACGGUACCUGACCAUGAAGCCCCGGCUAACUAGUGGCCGGCAGCCGAGGUAAUCGGAGGGGGGAAAGCGUUAUCCGGAAUUACUGGGUGUAAAGGGGGCGUAGACGGUGAAUAAAGUCAGUAGUGAAAGGCCGGGGCUCAACCCCGGGACUGCUCUGGAAACUAUUGAACUUGAGUGUAGGAGAGGUAAUCGGAAUUCCUAGUGUAGCGGUGAAAUGCGUAGAUAUUAGGAAGAACACCAGUGGCGAAGGCGGCUUACUGGACGGUAACUGACGGUGAGGCGCGAAAGCGUGGGGAGCAAACAGGAUUAGAUACCCGAGUAGUC